CAACGAUCUCAGGUGAUAAUACACACGGGAAAAAGAGGAGCAUAAUGGGUUAUAACCUGCCAUAAAAUCCGACAGGAUUGCAAGCAAGGUAGGCAGUCUAAAUGCAGAUCCAAGGAGACACAAGGUCUCAGUUAGACGUACCUCAACGAAAGCAGUUAUUCAAGGUGGAUUAAGCAAGCUACAGAACUUCCUGCACUCUGGAUGUCCUGGUUUUGGCUGGGAUGGAGGACACUGGACAAGGCUAGUUACAACCUUGCUC
rnacentral:lncRNA from 14 species